rnacentral:rRNA from 1 species
AGGACGAACGCUGGCGGCGUGCUUAACACAUGCAAGUCGAGCGGUGACGCACCUUCGGGUGCUGAUCAGCGGCGAACGGGUGAGUAACACGUGGGCAACCUGCCCCUAACACUGGGAUAACCUCGGGAAACCGUGGCUAAUACCGGAUAUGACUUCAAGCGGCAUCUCUUGAAGUGUAAAGCUCCGACGGUUAGGGAUGGGCCCGCGGCCUAUCAGCUUGUUGGUGGGGUAAUGGCCUACCAAGGCGACGACGGGUAGCCGG